GAGCAUGUAAACCCUGAACCUCAGCCAGCUUUAGCCCCUUAUCCCUAGGUAACAUCUAACCCCUAUAAGGUUUAAAAAUACAUACAGUAAAAAUGCCUGAGGCUAUAGGUAUUGCUAUGGUUCAUAUUGUUUGGGAUGUAAAUAGUCCUUGCAGAUAUUAAUGAAGGAGUACUCAGUGACCUAACUGAGAAGGUACUGUCACUCACCUUCAGUAAGCCACAGAUUUCUCCUUCAUUCCUGGUGUUGACAUCAGUUUUGUCUUGAGCUGUGCACAAACCUGAGCCACGUUGCCCAGGAGGUGGAAGUCAGCUUUUCAACUUUAGGUGCAUCAUCUGUUAAAGAAAAACACAGUGUACAUUAUUUCUACUUUCUCAAUAAGAAAGCACUCUCAGAGUAUAGCCAAAAGCCACACUUAGUAAGUUUCAAGGGUGGCAUUUGAAAGUACUUAUUUCUAACUCCAU
rnacentral:lncRNA from 1 species